rnacentral:pre_miRNA from 1 species
UUGAUUUGUCCUAAGUCAAACUUGUUUAGCUUUUACCAAAUUUAUAAAAAAAUAUAACAACUAUACUAUCAAAUAUAUGCACUAUCAAAACAUAUUCCAUGAUGGAUUCAACCAAAUAAAUUUGGUAUUAUAAAUAUUGUUAUAUUUUUCUAUAAACUUAGUUAAAAUUGAACAAGUUUGACUUAGAACAAACCAAA